rnacentral:rRNA from 1 species
UACGGAGGGUGCAAGCGUUAUCCGGAUUCACUGGGUUUAAAGGGUGCGUAGGCGGGUUGGUAAGUCAGUGGUGAAAUCUUCAAGCUUAACUUGGAAACUGCCGUUGAUACUAUCAAUCUUGAAUGUUGUGGAGGUAAGCGGAAUAUGUCAUGUAGCGGUGAAAUGCUUAGAUAUGACAUAGAACACCGAUAGCGAAGGCAGCUUGCUACACAAAAAUUGACGCUGAGGCACGAAAGCGUGGGGAAUCAAACAGGAGUUAGAA